AACGAACGCUGGCGGCAUGCCUAACACAUGCAAGUCGAACGAGACCUUCGUGUCUAGUGGCGCACGGGUGCGUAACGCGUGGGAACCUGCCCUUAGGUUCGGAAUAACUCCCCGAAAGGGGUGCUAAUACCGGAUAAUGUCUUCGGACCAAAGAUUUAUCGCCUUUGGAUGGGCCCGCGUUGGAUUAGCUAGUUGGUAGGGUAAAAGCCUACCAAGGCGACGAUCCAUAGCUGGUCUGAGAGGAUGAUCAGCCACACUGGGACUGAGACACGGCCCAGACUCCUACGGGAGGCAGCAGUGGGGAAUAUUGGACAAUGGGCGAAAGCCUGAUCCAGCAAUGCCGCGUGAGUGAUGAAGGCCUUAGGGUUGUAAAGCUCUUUUACACGGGAUGAUAAUGACAGUACCGGGAGAAUAAGCUCCGGCUAACUCCGUG
rnacentral:rRNA from 1 species